GUUGUCCCUAGAAGCUUGCAGCUAUGGCUGUGUGUUCCAUUGUGUCAGUAGGUGGCAGAGAGGAGAGAGGUUAUAUCUAAGCUCAGUAUUCUUUUUUUUUUUUUUAAUUGGAUGUUUUAUUUACAUU